rnacentral:rRNA from 1 species
UACGCAGGCGGUUAUGUAAGACAGAUGUGAAAUACCCGGGCUUAACCUGGGAAUGGCAUUUGUGACUGCAUAGCUAGAGUGUGUCAGAGGGGGGUAGAAUUCCACGUGUAGCAGUGAAAUGCGUAGAUAUGUGGAGGAAUACCGAUGGCGAAGGCAGCCCCCUGGGAUAACACUGACGCUCAUGUACGAAAGCGUGGGGAGCAAACAGGAUUAGAUACCCUGGUAGUCCACGCCCUAAACGAUGUCGACUAGUUGUUGGGCCUUAAUUGACUUAGUAACGCAGCCAACGCGUGAAGUCGACCGCCUGGGGAGUACGGUCGCAAGAUUAAA